CGCUCCACAGUCGUGGUGAAAGCCUCCGGGCCCAGUGGCAGAAUUUGCAGCGUAAUGAAGACAUCUCUGAAGCUGGAUUUCUUUGCCUAGAAUUCGUUAUAGGCGGAGAAGAGCCUU
rnacentral:RNase_MRP_RNA from 1 species